rnacentral:rRNA from 1 species
CUACGGGAGGCAGCAGUAGGGAAUAUUGGACAAUGGAGGAAACUCUGAUCCAGCCAUCCCGCGUGAAGGAUUAAGGUCCUAUGGAUUGUAAACUUCUUUUCUCUGAGAAUAAAAACUUCGAUUCAUCGGAGCUUGAAGGUAUCAGGGGAAUAAGCACCGGCUAACUCCGUGCCAGCAGCCGCGGUAAUACGGAGGGUGCAAGCGUUAUCCGGAUUCACUGGGUUUAAAGGGUGCGUAGGUGGUUUUGUAAGUCAGUGGUGAAAGCCUGUAGCUUAACUAUAGAAUUGCCAUUGAUACUGCUUAACUUGAAUCAAGUCGAGGUGGAUGGAAUAAAUCAUGUAGCGGUGAAAUGCUUAGAUAUGAUUUAGAACACCAAUUGCGAAGGCAGUUCACUAGAUUUGUAUUGACACUGAGGCACGAAAGCGUGGGGAUCAAACAGGAUUAGAUACCCCAGUAGUCC